AUUGAACGCUGGCGGCAGGCCUAACACAUGCAAGUCGAACGAGUGGCGGACGGGUGAGCAAUGUCUGGGAAACUGCCUGAUGGAGGGGGAUAACUACUGGAAACGGCAGCUAAUACCGCAUAACAUCCGAUGUGCCCAGUUGGGAUUAGCUAGUUGGUGGGGUAACGGCGCACCAAGGCGACGAGCCAUAGCUGGUCUGAGAGGAUGACCAGCCACACUGGAACUGAGACACGGUCCAGACUCCUACGGGAGGCAGCAGUGGGGAAUAUUGCACAAUGGGAGAAAGCCUGAUGCAGCCAUGCCGCGUGUAUGAAGAAGGCCUUCGGGUUGUAAAGUACUUUCAGCGGGGAGGCGUUACCCGCAGAAGAAGCACCGGCUAACUCCGUGCCAGCCGCCGCGGUAAUAC
rnacentral:rRNA from 1 species